CAGUAGCCGCGGUAAUACGUAGGUGGCAAGCGUUAUCCGGAAUUACUGGGCGUAAAGCGUGCGCAGGCGGUUAUAUAAGACAGAUGUGAAAUCCCCGGGCUCAACCUGGGAACUGCAUUUGUGACUGUAUAGCUAGAGUACGGCAGAGGGGGAUGGAAUUCCGCGUGUAGCAGUGAAAUGCGUAGAUAUGCGGAGGAACACCGAUGGCGAAGGCAAUCCCCUGGGCCUGUACUGACGCUCAUGCACGAAAGCGUGGGGAGCAAACAGGAUUAGAUACCCCCGUAGUCCCUGUCUCUUAUAA
rnacentral:rRNA from 1 species